GAAAAUUGAUUUGAACCAGAUCUAGUAAGUAUGUAGUUUUUUUUUAUACGUCAUAAAUGGUACGGAACCCUUCAUGGGCGAGUCCGACUCGCACUUGGCCGCUUUUUUAAUAAUUUAAUAAUGCCAUAGAUGAAUAAAAUUAAGCACUAAACUUAUAUACGGUCUAAUAAACUUAAUACUUAUUACAAAUUAGAUGAUCGUUACAAAUGUUUGCCAGACUUCAUAUACAAGAAUUUUUAUUACUAACAAUGUCAUGGCUAUUGUAGCAUCUCAUAGCACCCAGCACCCAGUCCUAUCUCUCUUGUGCUGUGCUCUUUUUAACCGACUUCAAGAUUUCAAAAGAGGAGGUUAUCAAUUCGGUUGUUUUUUUUUUAAAUGUUUGUUACUCCAUAACUCCGUCAUUUCGGAACCGAUUUUGAAAAUUAUUUUUUUGUUUGAAUUUAUAUAUAUACAGAUUGGUCCCGUUUUUCAAAACUCAGUUCUGAUGAUAGGAUCCAUGAAGAAUCGAGGGAACUCUUCAAAUGUGAAAGGCAAACAUAUAAUGAUUUUUGUAUUUUCUGUAACAAAUCAAGCAUUUACAUUUAAAAAAGUGACAUUUGAUGAAGUGGAACUGCUGAUGCUGAUCAGAAUGGAACUCUUCAACGACGCAUAGUACACGUUUGGUGAUUUCUCCUCUUCGCUGUGUUUGUUAGGUAAAUUAAAUUUUCAAAACAAAUUUUUGUCAAGUUCUAGUUCUGACGAUGGGGUCCAUGAGGAAUCGAGUGAACUCUUCAAAUAUGAAAGGCAUGCAUAUAGUGAUUUUUGUAUUUUCUUGAACAAAUCAAGCAUUUACAUUUAAAAAGUAACAUUUGAUGAAGUGGAACUGCUGAUGAUGAUCAGAAUGGUACUCUUCAACGACGCAUAGUACACGUUUGGCGAUUUGUCCUCUUCGCUGUGUUCGUUAAGCAAAUUAGAUUUUCAAAACAAUUUUUUGUCAAGUUCGAGUUCUGACGAUGGGGUCCAUGAGGACUCGAGGGAACUCCUCAAAUGUUAAAGGCAUAUAUGGUGAUCUUAGUAUUUUCAUUAACAAAUCAAGUAUUUACAUUUGUGGAGGUGACAUUUGAUGAAGUGGAACUGCUGAUGAUGGACAGAACGGAACUCUUUGAUGAUGCAUAGCUCACGUUUGGCAAUUUGUUCUCUUUGCCAAGCAGUUAGGUUUUCAAGGCACAUUUUUAUAUUUCUAUCCUAUUUAGUUUUUUUAAUAAUUAUCUGGUGCUUUAUUUCAUGCAUGGUGUGAAAUAAUUUAUCUUAAAUACAGUCGAAUACCCUAUUGCGGGUAUCUUACCAGUCAACCAUAGGGCAAAUCUGAAAUGUGUCAAGGUGGGUGCAGUGGCAAAAAAAGAACAUGUUACCUCCUUUUCUACAUAAUUAGGCGUAGGGCGCUGUCUUUUUAAUUUCAUUGUAUGAAAUCUAAAAUCAACAAUAAUCGUUCUUUCACCGGUCUCCCUCAAUGAAGUCGGUUUUUUUUUCUUAAAAAUUAUGUUUUCAGAAGUCUAGAAGACUAUGUUGCCUCUAUUUGAGCCAAUACAGAACAAACAUUGAACAUUUAGCUAAUUUUUAUUCGAACAUUCCAGAACCGGCGGGGGUCAAAGUACACUCUCGCGCCCUGGCCGCCUGCCUACGUGACCGCGCGCUCUCAUGAACAACAGAAUCUCGAGCAUGGCUUGUGCGCACGUUUACUUGACUAUCCUUCUGCCUGCUUAAUCACCCUUCUCAUAAAUUUAGUAUAUUAAUAAAUUUAGUACAGGGAGCCUCACUACAAAAUUAAAAUCUGUUUUUGACGAAUCAGCUGUCACAAGCUCAAGGAAGUCAUACAAUGACAUUCAACAUAUAUGUAGGCCCGGUUAUCCAAGAUAAUUUGUUGAGCAUUCUCAUUCGAUUCAGACAGCAUAAAUUUGUUGCAUCUUCUCAAAUAGCUAAAAUGUACAGGCAGAUUUAUGUAAAAGAAGAUCAACGAAGUUUGCAGCAGAUUCUAUGGCGGCGUGAUCCACUGACAUAAAUGCACUACGUACUAGACACGCUAUCGAGAACAACUUGUGUCCGCAAUUUUCAACGUUUGAUGUAUAUCACUAAGCUACCGAAUAAUAGCUAGUCAGAGGCGAAACUGUUAUGACAACUGUUAAUUUUCUGCCUAAAUACCUACUGUAAAGAAUCUGGAUAAAAUUUAUUUAUUUCCAUUAAACUGUAAUAAUUUUUGUUUCUUUUGUGACACUGCCGAUAUUAAAAUUUAUAAAAAUAG